GAAACCAGCACUGCUUAAUUCUUGAUGAUACCAGACCGAUUUUAAUUGAGAUAGAAGGUGAAUGUGUAGAGAAUUGGAAGAUGAAGUGGAACGUCUGCUACUCACUUUUCUUUACGAUGCUUCAAGUUUAUAAUGUAGUUACAACAGGAGAAAGUCUUUGUAAAGUUACACAUCAGAGAGAUGAGUGUGGAAACCGGGGUUGGUUGUGGAAUUGUAGUCACCUCAACUAUCGAAGGAUUCCUCUUGAUUUCAAUACAAUGUUUAAAGGCGAAACAGUAUCAAUUGACCUUUCAUGGAAUAAUUUUAUUUUGAUAUCAACAAAAACAUUUGCAAGCAUCAAAACAACUUUAUUAAGGAAUGUCUCAGCAUUAUAUUUGAAGAACAGUGGCAUAAAAUGUAUAGAUAGAUUUUCGUUCAGGCGUCUUCCUAGGCUGUGCGUUCUUGACCUUUCGUUUUGCAACUUGAAAGUACACACCCCAAGAAAGUGGUCAUUUUCGUAUCUGGGUGAAUUGAAAAUUCUGGGUGAAUUGAAAAUUCUGGGUGAAUUGAAAAUUCUCUACAUACAUGGCAAUGAAUUUUAUAGACACGUUUCUAAUUAUAGCUAUCCCGAGAACGAACUAUCACGACUAUCGUCUUUAACAGAAUUGCACAUUGACGUUUUUGAAGGAUUUAGAUUCGGAAGCAAAUUAAAACGUUUAUAGCAUUUUAGCAAACUGAAAUUUUACCCAACUUCAUCCAUUUUCUACUUACACAACAACACGUUUAUUGGAUUAUCGGAAUCGCCCAUCUACAAUCUGACAAUGGACUUUAAGGAUCACGUACGAUGUGACGUCAGUGAAGAUAUCCUAUGCUCUUUCCCUGUUGUGUUGAGAAUAGAAAUGAAUUUUGGAGGUAUAUGUGACUUGAAUGCAGCGUUAAGAGCGUUAAAGUGUUUGCAAAAUAGAACAAUUGUAGAAAUAUCCAUAAAUUCAAAUGUUCGAUAUUUUGUUAGGCAUGAUUUAUUGUUGAAUCGGAAUAAUAGUAAAUAUUUGUCCAACAUCUGCGUGCAGAAAAUUCAUGCUAGGAACAACCGAAUUGCAGGGAUUUCUUUCGAUUUUCUUAAAAAAAAUCUUGGAAGAUGUAUUGAAUAUUUGGAUAUUUCCAGGAAUAGUAUUAUGCAUUGCGUACUUUAAUAGACUUCUUGACAAAUUAA